rnacentral:siRNA from 1 species
ACUGUUGCUCAACAUACUCUUUCC